rnacentral:lncRNA from 1 species
UUUUACAACCCUUAAACCCUCUCAAAAACACACUUAAUCAUAGCUGAAUUCCAGCAACAAAAUCAGAAAGUUUCAGCCAUUAAAAGUGAGUUUUAACUCACUUCUACUUCGAUUUUCCUCUUAUUUCUUUCUUCUUAACACUUUGAUAACCUCUAGGAAGGUUUUCACAGGUUUGCUUGGGCAAACUAAGGUAAAACCUCACCAUUUUUGAGGCCCAAAGUGCAACAAACAUUCUGCCCGUUUUUAUUUUUUUUUGUAUGAUUCAUUUUAUGUUGAUAACUUGAUGGAAUCUUGUUCCCAUCAAGCUCACAAUCAAGUCUAUGAUUGUGGGUUUGUAUUAGGGUGAUUACCAUCAAAGUUAUGAGUUCAAACACUCACUUAUUUUCUGCUUUUACUUGACAAACGGAUGAUGAAAACAAGCACAAGUCAUCAUCUUCCAUAUGAUGAACUUGUGCCUUGUGAAGUGUGAACAAAUGGAAGCCUUGGCUUUUCAAACUAAGUUCCACUCCUUCAUUUGAACAUUUUUAUAGCUUGUUAAAUUAGAUUUACUUUCUUGUUAUUCAUGACCCUCCCACCACCUUCAUGAUGGUGUGUGUAGUGGUGAAUCAUAUAAUGAGGUUUUCUAACCUCCAUGCUUGACAUACAUGAUCCUAUAUGACAAUACUUGAUUGGACUUAGUUUUAAGAUGUAUUAUUACUAUAUAAACUAUACAUAAUUAUAUAAAAAUAUGGCUGAGUUUGUGGUGUUAAUCAAACCAUGAUUAGCCAUCAUAAACCUAAGCUAUCAUAUCAAAGAUUCUAGAGUUCUUGUUAUGAUUCCAAUGGGCAACUUGGGACCCAUGAAACCACUAAUUAUGGUGUCAUAAACAAACUCUUAGGGCUUAGAUAUUACUUUCAUGUAUACAUACUUUUACCACUUUAAUUUCUAAUUCCGAAUCUUACCACUCCCUACACAUCACAUAACCCUACCAUUAAAAUCCUCACUCACAAGCAAACUCGUCACUCUUGGAUAAUCGGAAAGCAAUUGCAAUUUUACACAUGCCAUAUUUAAUGUUGAGGAUGAUGAUGCUAUGAAAAGAAGUAGCGUUGAUGCCUAGAUACACAUAUAGACGUUUAGGUUUAAUAUGUUGUAUCAAUUUUGAUUAUGUUGUUAUGUAUUUCUUUUGAACUUGUUGUUAUUUGUAUUUCUUGUAUUGUUGACAAUUUACUUAUGAAAUGAAACCGGUUUAUUAAAU